CCCCGCAUCGCCGUCUUCAUCAGUACUUCCGGCAUUACACUGAAACGGCAGCGACCAACUUUCAUAUCGAACGCUAUCAUAGAGAUGUCGGUCAUAGAGAGGUCACAAGUAGCACGGCCGCAGUCUUCCUCAGUCCCAUAAAGAUUACUUGCUGGUGUAUAGUUUCUAUCAGAAACUAUUUAAGGAGAUGGCCAAUCUAAUAUUCUGCAGAAGAGAGUUUCACAUAGUGGAUACCACAUCAGAGAAGCUCCUGUUCUAUAUUGCUCAGUUGUAACCAGCACGAAAGGAAGGACACAAAGAUUCAUAUGUGACUCAGCAACUUCUGAAGAACCAAUGAAGGAAGCAGUUUAGAAAUGCCUAAGCCAAAGAAUGUUUAUUCAAUAACAUUUGUCUUGGAAAACUGAAAAAAAUAAAGGAUUAUCAACAUAGUUUAAACAUUUCUCUGAGUUCCCCACAGGAAUAAACAUUCCUAAAAGGACAGCUGAGCUGUUGGAUGCUUGAAAUCAUUUUGCUGGCAACAGGCCUUGGUUUCUCUGAACAGACAAUUAUGAGAAAUAAAAUAUCACUUCAAAGGAGGAAUGGAAAGAAGCAGCCAACAAAUGUCACUCACUAAAGCAUAACCCCAGCACAAUUUGGGCUUCUGGAUUAACAGUGCUGUCAUAUGUUAAUUCCCUAUGUGUUUAUGGAAUGUCCUUUUUCCAUAGCUGGCAAUGUGAACACAGUGGGUAUGUGACUCUCUGAAGAGAUUAUUAUGCAUUUCAAAGAUCCCAGGGCAAAGUCUGAGGAUACAUGAUACAGCCACCUUGUUGAAAGACGCAGAGCAACUGUCCUGAUGAUGGUGCUGUGCUGCAGCUGAUGGUGGAGGAGUCCACAGCUUUGUUGCAGAGUACAUGUUUUGCCUGCAGAAGGGCUGGCAUUGCAAUUAAAAGGAUGGUGGGUAGCAGGACUGGGAAAGACUUUUGCUUGAGACCUUGGAAAGUCUGUGUUAAAUCUGAGCAGAUCAUACUGAACUAGACAGACCAACAGACCACCUAAUAUAGACUAUCUAGUACAAUGCAGGUUACUAAAAUUUUAUAGUAUUGGACUCUGCCAAUUGGCUCUGGAAUUGGCUCCACUCCUAACCUUAGACUUUGGACAGCAGCCUUUGUUGCCUCCAACACAAUGGAAGUGCAUGAGGCCAUUUGCGAUACAAUCUUGUUCCUGGGCAAAGGCCAGCGAAGGCAUUCCAAAAUGGCAGCUUACGAGCCUUUAAGCCUCAUUAAUACUGUGGCAAAACUCUGCAUAGUCUUUACAAAGCCGUGUUCUCAGCAGGUAUGUCCCUCACUGAGGACAGAAUGCCUUCAGGUAUUUCCAUGAUAUCUAAUGAAAAUAGUUUCCUUGAACUCAGUAAUAGAAGCCCCAUCAUUGUCUGAAAAGUUAGUAUAUCAAGAUAUUGUCUUAUAUUAUUUAUGAAAAAGCAACUCAUACUAUCCAGUGAUAAUCCUAAUUAAUACCUAACAGACAGAAUCUACAAUUUAGGUCUGAUUGAAUAAUCCGUUCAUUAAUUUCUUAUAACAUUGACUUCAGUGCCCACUACACAAUAUAUUAAAAUAAUAAAUGUUGAAGGUA